GGAAGAGAAUUACGAACAAGUGAUUACUAUGUAUAGCAGCCACGUGCAGUUGUCUGGAAACCUUUCUCAUUAUUUGAACUCUAUCACUCAGUGAAACAAUGAAGUAGGAUGAGUUUUAUGUUCCCUCUCUGUGUCGACGAUCUAUUCAUGGCUGUACAUGAUACGAUUACAAUGGCUGCGUAUUUCAUCCAUAUUCCAUACUACCUUUCCCCCAUUCCACUCCCCACGAAACUCCUAAGAAUUGUCUUACCACCGACCAUUUCUCCCAUCGAUAACCCUGCCAUUAAUUAUCUUUCACCCCAUCAGACACUCGCGACAUGCUCGAAUAACCCACCCUUACGGAGAUGAAGCAUUAUUCCUCACACUUGCACUCGUCGUCGCGAUGUGUCCUACGAUAGCUCGAGAAUGAUCCACGGAGGAUGAUAUAUGGGGGGGAAAGGGAUAGGAGAGGGAAUGGGGGAUGAGGGGGAUGGGUAUAUCAGCUCAUUACCUCUCAUUGUUUCUGGGCGCUGAGGUUGGUUUGGCUGAGAACCGACGUUUGACGGUUUUCCCAGGCUGGGAGCCGGCUAAGAGGAAUGAGGUGCAGAGUGGUUGCGGUUCACACAAACCGGAGAUGCUAUCACUCCCAUUCCCAUCCCAAUCGUCAAAUUCGGAGAAGGAUGACUCCACUCCCUCGUUUUGGGUGUGCAUCAGAAGGGUACGAUGAUGGGUCUUGGCCUCUGGGCCUUUUGUUCCGAUAUUCCCCCCCCCCUUUUUUUUUCCUUCUCAUCAUUCCCAUCCCCCGCCUGGUUUCCAGCAAAAGAGCGUUUAUGUUCAUAUGCGGGGAGGGUAUCUCGUCUUUUCGGGUGGAAUGGCGCUGGCGAUAGCGGUAGAGGGAAGGCAUAACCCUUUUGUUUUGGACUCUGGCUCUUGGUUCGACUGUGGCUCUGUUGAUUGUUACGGUGGUCGUGGGAGAGAAUAAUAGACGAGAGAGAACGAGGAAUAAUAAUACCCAAAGGGGAAUGAAGAGUGGACAUCCGAAGUGUGGGAGGUACAAGCAGAUGACGGGGAUAGUUGUUCGCUGAACACUGAGGUGGAAGUAGUGGAGUCUAGGGAGGAUGAAGACAAUGAAAUGAGAUUAGUAUUGGCGUUUGACACUUACUUAUGAGGGUCAGAAAUGAAGGAAGAGGUAGACCGGAAAAAGUGAAGAUAAAGAAGAAGGAGGAGCGUACAGUGGAAUAUCUGGCUCUACCAGUCUUCAUUCCCCGCUCAGUUCCAUUAUCCUUUUCAUUAAGCUGAAUAGUCUCAGGGGAAGGACUUGGCAGAUUCAGCAGCGGAGACAUAGACUGAGAAAGAGAAGGUGAAAGCGGAAAUGAUGAUGAGGUGUAUGGAUACCCCGAUUUAAAUGCUGAUGGUGAUGAUAAGGGCGAAGGCGAAGUGAAAAGGGAGGACGAGGGAGGGAAAGGGCAAGGGGUGGGAGAAGGGAAAGAGGAAUGAAAGCCGAUAUGGUGAGGAUAAGGUGUCAAACAACGAGGCGGUCGAGGUGGAUGUGGUUGAACAGGCGAGCGGGAACUAAAUGGAGUAUGCGAGGGGGAAGAAGAAGGGUAUAUUGAGGUGGGAGACCUUGCAGGGAGUGAACAAGUGAUGAUCACUCGUAAAGUCGAUGGCUCUGGCAUGCCCGGGCUUUUUCGAGCGAUAUUACUUGCCUUUGAUAGAUAUUUAGCACAAAAGUGAUCAGUAGAUAUGGUGAAAUAACUACUGAGGCCGACUCGAAGAGUUUCUUAAACUUUUCUUUUCCAAGACAAUGCAA
rnacentral:sRNA from 1 species